rnacentral:rRNA from 14 species
GUCAGCUCGUGUCGUGAGAUGUUGGGUUAAGUCCCGCAACGAGCGCAACCCUCGCCUUUAGUUGCCAGCAUUUAGUUGGGCACUCUAGAGGGACUGCCGGUGAUAAGCCGGAGGAAGGUGGGGAUGACGUCAAGUCCUCAUGGCCCUUACGGGCUGGGCUACACACGUGCUACAAUGGCAUCUACAAUGGGUUAAUCCCCAAAAGAUGUCUCAGUUCGGAUUGGGGUCUG